rnacentral:lncRNA from 1 species
GGCAGUGACAUAUUCGAUAAUGUCAAAUUGUCAUAUAAAAAUGGGGAAGGGAUCGGAAUAUCCUAUAUUCCCAUGGGAGAAGUGAUCUAUAUUUUGGGUGUAAAUGACUCCAAAUGAGAAAUCCUAUGUAAAAUGUGAUUUUUUUUUAAAAAAAAUAUUGUAAAUUAAUCGAUUUUUAUGAAAUGGUCACACCGUCACUCAAAGAAAAAAAGUAAUUUUUUAUGAAAAUUUUAUAUUGCAAAUUGGUAUUCAAGUUAGUAUCGAAGACUUUGUUUAAUCGUCAAAUUGAUGAGUUCUCAAAGUUAGUAUUUGAUUAAAAUUAAGGCCAAAUUGGAUUAUUCAUCCCCGUGGUCAUAGGAAACUUGCAUGAUGACCUCCGUGGUGAAAAAACUAGGAAUUAAACCCCUGUGGUCAAGAAUGUUAGCAAAUUUAGUCCAAAAGUAAGAUUUCUGUUAAAUGACUGUUAAAAGUAUGAGUAAAACUGUAUUUUCAGUUCCAAUUGACAUUUAAAAUAAAUAUUUUUUUAUAACAAUUAACAAAAAAAAUAAUGCUUAAUUUUUUAAAUAAAAAAAAGCCCCAAUUCAAUGUCAAUUGGAACUGAAAUACAGUUUUACCCCAACUUUUAACAGUCCUUUAACAGAAAUCUUACUUUUGGACUAAAUUUGUUAACAUUCUAGACCACGAGGGUUUAAUUCCUAGUUUUUUCACCACAGAUGUCUUCAUGCAAGUGUCUUAUGACCACGGGGAUGAACAAUCCAAUUUAGCCUAAAAUUAAUGUUGUGUAUGAACUCUAGUAUUUUAGUUUGGGGAAACAUUGUCUUUUCGCAUGGAGGAAAAGUACAAAUUCAAGUUGACUUGUUUUGCUUUGUGUAAUUCCCAAUUGGAAGUCUAAAACAAUGUAUUUAUUGAGUAUUAGAUGUGUAAUGUUAGACAGAUGGCAUGAUCUUGUAUUGACAAAUGUCAUAAUCUUGUGAGGUUGGUUGUUAGAGGUGUUAGCUUAGUCAAUAAGCUACUGUGCUUACUAUAAAUACGGAAUUACAUCAGAUUGUAACUAAUCUUUCCAAUCAUUCAUUACUGCAAUACAAAAGAAUAUUCUCUUCACUCUCUUCUUUCUCUCUCUCUCGAUACAUUUCUUGAUUUUCAGCUUCUGCAACUCUGUUAUGAUGGUAUCCAUAGCUAGAUUCUCGAUUUGAUCCUAAGAAUUAGUGCUGGAAUUCAAAAUGGUGGAAGGUUUUGUGCGUGGAGUUAGAAUUUUUUUUUUUUUUGUGGCGGUGGAGAUUCCUGUUCGUCGGUGCCAUGUCAAUGUAUUCCAAUUUCAUCUUUCACGCUGAUUUCUUUGAAGAUUUGAUGGUAUCUGUUGGUACCAUAUAUUGGGCCUCGUCUUUGGGCCUUAUCCCUAAGCCCAUGACAAAUGUAAAAGGGGAGGGAGCCCUUAUUCUAUAAAAUGGACUCUCCCUCACC